rnacentral:rRNA from 1 species
GACGAACGCUGGCGGCGCGCUUAACACAUGCAAGUCGAGCGAAGCGGCGGACGGGUGAGUAACACGUGAGUAACCUGCAUUAGACAUUGGGAUAGCCUCGGGAAACCGGGAUUAAUACAAAAUGGUCUAAGAUGGUAUCGUGUCCCAUUAGCUAGUUGGUAGGUAACGGCCCACCAAGGGGACGAUGGGUAGCCGGCGUGAGAGGGUGAACGGCAACUUUGGAACUGAGAAACGGUCCAAAAUCUGCGGGAGUGAGCAGUGGGUAAUAUUGCACAAUGGAGUGAACUCUGAUGCAGCGACGCCGCGUGAACGAAUAAGGCUUUCGAGUCGUAAAGUUCUUUUAUAGGGGGAGCGGUACCAUAAGAAAAAGCCCCGGCUAACUACGUGCCAGCAGCCACGGUAAUUC